AUCCAGUCUGGCAUUUCAGUUGUGAAAGCCUGAACAGUUCAAAAGGGUUUGCUAAUCCAGGGGAGAGUUCUGUGAAAACAAAAGUAAUAGAAGAGCCAUUGCAAUAAAUAAGAAUUUAGGUACCUACCUAGGUACCUAGGUACUUACUUGUGCACAGUCACACGCAUAUCAGUCCCGACCCGACGUAGGUCGUUUGCUCCGCGGAUCACGCACUUCUUCAUCGUUAUUAUAGGUAUUUGUUCGAA